GCGCCAGCAGCCCGCCGGACAGGCCCCGCAUCUCCCCGGCUCUGUUCGGCUCCGCUCGGCUCUGCUCGGCUCGCGCGCCGCUGCGGAUGGCGAGGGAAGGGCCGGCCGCCGGGGCUCCUUCACUCGCGCACAGAUGGCAUCUUCCUACUGAGAAUGGGCAUCUCCCUUGGGCAUCUGGACAAAGUUUAUGCUUGGGAGCCUGAAACUCUCCUUCAAUGGGGUGGAAAAAGCUCUUUUUUGGACUACAUCUCAGAGAUUCCCCACAGGAGAAGAGAUCUGAUAUCUUUCCUUCUUGCAUAAAAGAAGGAUUUGAUGUUUUAUAACCCUAAUCAAGAUCAGAAAACCUAUGCAACAUGGAGGUCAUGGCAUAGACUGGAAGCAGAAACUCUGGACUAGUUCACUACAUCAUCUUUCCUAUCAUUGGACAGAGCAAAGGAACCUUGCUACUCAACAUGAAUGAUCUGUUAUUUAUAUCUAAAAUUUCAGUCUGGAGUAGCAAGACCAACUUUGUACUCUACAGAUACGCUAUACAACAUCUCCCAUCAUCCCUAACCAAUAUACAGAACUCUGUCCCAUCAGUUAAGGAUCAUAACUACAAUUUUAAGAUGCCAAGAAGGCAACAACCAUUGCACUUGUACUAUAAACUUCUGUGGAUGCUUUUAGAUUUAAAGGUAUUGUUUGAACAUACAACAUCAUUUCAAUAAAUCAUCUAAAGCAAAGACAAAUCUUACUU